UUUCCUUUGCUUUGCAAAAGCUUUGAAGUUUCAUUAGGUCCCAUUUGUUUAUUUUUGUUUUUAUUUCCAUUACUCUAGGAGGUAGAUCAGAAAAGAUCUUGCUGUGAUUUAUGUCAAAGAGUGUUCUUCCUAUGUUUUCCUCUAAGAGUUUUAUAGUGUCCGGUCUUACAUUUGGGUCUCUAAUCCAUUUUGAGUUUAUUUUUGUGUAUGGUGUUAGGGAGUGUUCUAAUUUCAUUCUUUUACAUGUAGCUGUCCAGUUUUCCCAGCAACACUUAUUGAAGAGACUGUCUUUUCUCCAGUGUAUAUCCUUGCCUCCUUUUUCAUAGAUUAGUUGACCAUAGGUGCGUGGGUUUAUCUCUGGGCUUUCUAUCUUGUUCCAUUGAUCUAUGUUUCUGCUUUUAUGCCAGUACCAUAUUGUCUUGAUUACUGUAGCUUUGUAGUAUAGCCUGAAGUCAGGGAGUCUGAUUUCCUCCUGCUCCAUUUUUUUCCCUCAAGACUGCUUUGGCUAUUCUGGGUCUUUUGUGUCUCCAUACAAAUUUUAAGAUUUUUUGUUCUAGUUCCGUAAAAAAUACCAUUAGUAAUUUGAUAGGGAUUGCAUUGAAUCUGUAGAUUGCUUUGGGUAGUAUAGUCAUUUUCAAAAUAUUGAUUCUUCCAAUCCAAGAACAUGGUAUAUCUCUCCAUCUGUUGGUAUCAUCUUUAAUUUCUUUCAUCAGUGUCUUAUAGUUUUCUGCAUACAGGUCUUUUGCCUCCCUAGGUAGGUUUCUUCCUAGGUAUUUUAUUCUUUUUGUUGCAAUGGUAAAUGGGAGUGUUUCCUAAAUUUCUCUUUCAGAUUUUUCAUCAUUAGUGUAUAGGAAUGAAAGAGAUUUCUGUGCAUUACUUUUGUAUCCUGCAAUUUUACCAAAUUCAUUGAUUAGCUCUAGUAGUUUUCUGGUGGCAUUUUUAGGAUUCUCUAUAUAUAGUAUCAUGUCAUCUGCAAACAGUGACAGUUUUACUUCUUCUUUUCCAAUUUGUAUUCCUUUUAUUUCUUUUUCUUCUCUGGUUGCUGUGGCUAGGACUUCCAAAACUAUGUUGAAUAAUAGUGGUGAGCGCAGACAUCCCUGUCUUGUUCCUGAUCUUAGAGGAAAUGCUUUCAGUUUUUCACCAUUGAGAAUUAUAUUUGCUGUGGGUUUGUUAUAUAUGGCCUUUAUUAUGUUGAGGUAGGUUCCCUCUAUGCCCACUUUCUGUACAGUUUUUAUCAUAAAUGGGUGUUGACUUUUGUCAAAAGCUUUUUCUGCAUCUAUUGAGAUGAUCAUAUGGUUUUUAUUCUUCAGUUUGUUAAUAUGGUGUAUCACAUUGAUUGAUUUGCGUAUACUAAAGAAUUCUUGCAUCCCUGAGAUAAAUCCCAGUUGAUCAUGGUGUAUGAUCCUUUUAAUGUGUUGUUGGAUUCUGUUUGCUAGUAUUUUGUUGAGGAUUUUUGCAUCUAUAUUCAUCAGUGAUAUUGGUCUGUAAUUUUCUUUUUUUGUAGUAUCUUUGUCUGGUUUUGGUAUCAGGGUGAUGGUGGCCUCAUAGAAUGAGUUGGGAGUGUUCCUUUCUCCCCAGUUGUAUGGAAGAGUUUGAGAAGGAUGGGUGUCUGCUCUUCUCUAAAUGUUUGAAAGAAUUCACCUGUGAAGCCAUCUGGUCCUGGACUUUGUUGGAAGAUUUUUAAUCACAGUUUCAAUUUCAUUACUUGUGAUUGGUCUGUGCAUAUUUUCUAUUUCUUCCUGGUUCAGUCUUGGAAGGUUAUACCUUUCUAAGAAUUUGUCCAUUUCUUCCAGGUUGUCCAUUUAAUUGGCAUAGAGUUGCUUGUAGUAGUCUCUUAGGAUGCUUUGUAUUUCUGUGGUGUCUGUUGUAACUUCUCCUUGUUCAUUUCUAAUUUUAUUGAUUUGAGUCCUCUCCCUCUUUUUCUUGAUGCGUCUGGCUGAUGGUUUAUCAAUUUUGUUUAUCUUCUCAAAGAGCCAGCUUUUAGUUUUAUUGAUCUUUGCUAUUGUUUUCUUUGUUUCUAUUUCAUUUAUUUCCACUCUGAUCUUUAUGAUUUCUUUCCUUCUGCUAAUUUUGGGUUUUGUUUGUUCUUCUUUCUCUAGUUCCUUUAGGUGUAAGUUUAGAUUGUUUAUUUGAGAUUUUUCUUGUUUCUUGAGGUAGGCUUGUAUAGCUAUAAACUUCCCUCUUAGAACUGCUUUUGCUGCAUUCCAUAGGUUUUGGAUUGUCGUGUUUUCAUUGUCAUUUGUCUCUAGGCAUUUUUUGAUUUCCUCUUUGAUUUCUGCAGUGAUGACUUGGUUAUUUAGUAACGUAUUGUUUAGCCUCCAUGUGUUUGUGUUUUUUGUUUUUUCCCUGUAAUUCAUUUCUAAUCUCAUAGCAUUGUGGUCAGAAAAGAUGCUUGAUAUGAUUUCAAUUUUCUUAAAUUUACUGAGGUUUGAUUUGUGACCCAAGGUGUGAUCUAUCCUGGAGAAUGUUCCGUGCGCACUUGAGAAGAAAGUGUAAUCUGCUGUUUUGGGAUGGAAUGUCCUAUAAAUAUCAAUUCAAUCUAUCUGGUCUGUUGUGUCAUUUAAGGCUUCUGUUUCCUUAUUUAUUUUCAUUUUGGUUGAUCUGUCCAUUGGUGUAAGUGAGGUGUUAACGUCCCCCACUAUUAUUGUGUUACUGUCGAUUUCCUCUUUUAUAGCUGUUAGCAGUUGCUAACAAGAAGUUUCUGCUCCUUCCUCCUGAAAUUCUCCUCCCUUCCGUCUUCUUUUGAUUAACUUUUUCGUGGUAUUUCAACUCAAAUGCUGUAUUGUCACCAAAGCCUUUCCUGACUCUGCAGACGUAGUUCACCCUCAUCUUAUGAGAUGCUACAGCACUCUGUCCUUCUCUGUCACACUUAGUGCAGAUGGAAUUUACAGAAUUAGAUGAGGGCAGGUAAGGUGGUUUUUUGGUUUGUUUUGGUUUGGUCUGGUCUACUUAGCUUAGAACAAUGCAUGACAUAGGUAAUGCAAUAAGCAUUUAAAAUUUUAUUGUGAAAUGUAUCAGACAUUUUUGAAGAUAAUGUAAAACAUUAUUUUAUUAAGUGAUAAAAUAAACUCCCAGGUACCAACCCUUCAUUUAAGAAACAGAAUAUUAUUAGUACCAUAAAAGCACCCUGUGUAAUCCUCCUGACUUUUGUAUUAAUCAUUCUUUAGUUUUGCUUAUAGUUUCAUUACCUAUGAGUAUAUGCCAAGGACGUGUCUGGUUGAGUUUGGAAAAACUGAGUAGCAAGCACAGGUUCAGCUGUGGGGGAAAGCUGCUGCCAUGAGAAAGCUGAGCAGUCCCUGGGUUAUGGUGUGCUUCUGUGCACUGAAACGUUUCAGGAUCCCUUAGGGGAGUUAAUGGGCAAGGUCAGGAGUGACUUGUGUGAAUCCACACUUCCAAGCCAUAGUGUGAUGGAAUAUUUUGUGAGUUCACACAUCCAGGGCUCCUGCCAGGGUCGUAGUGUGAUGGAGUAUUGUGUGAACUCACACACCCAGGGCUCCCGCCAAGGUCGUAGUGUGAUGGAGUAUUGUGUGAACUCACACAUCCAGGGCUCCCACCAAGGUCGUGGCGUGGUGGAGUAUUAGAUAGCCAACGUGUGGAAUAGGCUGGUUUACAUCUACACUUACCGUUCAGUUUUCCUUCCUUCAACUCUUAGGAGUAGGGCAAAGCAGAAAACCUCUGUGAGGGGAAAAGACUGCCCUCAUGUGAUCUAGGCUAUAGGGCGGAGACUUUCUUAGUGCACCCUCAAGCAAAUCAAGUGCUGAAGGGAAUCUGGCCAAGCUUUUAAUCUGUCCUUAGGUUAAAAAAUGGCCCCAUGGCAGCACAGGUCUUUCAGAUGAUAGACCUCGGUGUAGCUGUGUGUUGAGCACACUGAUCCAAUCUUGGUCAGUCACCUCUGUAUCUAAGACAGAGGACCUCUUUGGAACCUUCCUUCCUGUCUUCCUAGGGAUCCCCUCUACCUUCCUUGUGCAUUGGAUCUUGUUUCCUAACACCUAUUUUGUCUCUUGGUUUACUCUCUCAUUUUGGUGGAGCCUAUUCUCUGUUAUCUUGUUGGGGAAAGUGGUGUAGGAAAUAAAUAUCUCUGAAACCUUUAGUGUCUAAAAAUGUCUUUAUUCUGCUCUUACACUUGUUUAGCUAAGUAUGGAAUUCUAGGUUGGAACUCUUUCCUUCAGAAUUUUGAGAAUAUUGCUCCAUUGGCUUUUGGGUUGCAGCCUUGCUGUUGAGAGUUUCAAAGCUUUUCUGGUUGCUAGUUCUUUAUAUGUGAUCCUUUUCCCCUUUCAAGAAUCUUGUAGGAUCUUCUCUUUGUUUUGGCUGCCCUAAUGGCACACGAUGAUGUACCUCUGGUCUCUCAGUACUCAUUGGGCCCUUUUCCUCUGGAAGCAGAUGUACUUCAGUUCUGGGAAAUUUUCUUAGUUUGUCAAUCAUUUUCUCCCAUUUGUCUUCUCUGUUCGUUCUUUAUGGAACUUCUGUCAUUUAGAUGGUGGAUCAUCUUCACUGGUUCUCUUAAUUUUUAGUUUUUUUCCUCUCCUUUUUUUCCCAUUUAUUCCUCUUUUCUGUAUUUAUUAGGUUAUUUCUUCAGCCGUAACUGCUUUUUUGAGCUUUUUGCUUUUCUUUAUCUCUUUUUUUUGUCUAUCUCUCUUUCUCCUUCCUCUCUCCCCUCCUUUUCCUCACUCCGUCUCAUUCCAUUUUUUCUUUUAAAAUUCAAGUGCUCUUUUGUUCUAUGACUGUUCCUUUGUUAUAGCAACAUUUUCCUUUUUAAACAUUUAUUGUAUUGAAGUAUAGUUGAUUUAGAAUGUGUUAAUUUCUGCUGUACAGCAAAGUGACUCAGCUAUACACAUAUAUACAUUCUUUUUAUAUUCUUUUCCAUUAUGGUUUAUCACAGGAUAUUGAAUAUAGCUCCCUGUGCUAUACAGUAGGACCUUGUUGUUUAUCUAUCCUAUAUAUACUAGUUUGCAUCUGCUAAUUGCAAACUCCCAAUCCAUUCUUCCCCCACCCCCACCCAUAGCAACAUUUUCUUAUUUCAUGAAUGCGAUUUUUUUUCUUUAAGAACAAUACUGAUAGAUUUUUAAGUUUUAUUUCUCUCUACAAGUUGCUUUUUCUCUGUUUUGGUUUCUAACUUGCAUGUUAGAAGCUUUCUUCAGGUGUCUGAUAGUCGUCAGUUAUCUGCACGUGACUGAAAGGAGGCUGAUUGGACGUUCAGAGGGCACACAUGGGACUUGUGUCUUCGAGUGUCACAUUAGGGUGAUGUUGGUGAGCUGAUUGCUAGGAACCUGUGAAGUUGGUAUCUGAGAUCUUAUCUAAUAAAAUAGAUUUACAUAACAGAUCUAUUAUAGACAUUUUGGCCUGGUCAGCUUCCCCGUGUCAAGAACUGUGAAGAAGCUGAGAUUUUACGCUACAUGUUGUUGAAAGUAGCUCUCCAUGGUUUCUCAGUUUCCGUACAUCUAGUGAGCAAGGACACUGAGAGGCUUUUGUUCCAGACCAUCUUUUUAAGGAUGUUGCUGUAGUGAAGAGCUUUGGGAGGUGUAGGUAGUGUCUCUGUCUGGAGCAGAAGGUGGAUUUGUUUACUGUCUAGUAUGACAGAGAUACCGUCUCCCUCCAGUUCAAAGGUUAGACAGGUUUUCUUAUACCUCCUUAAAAAAGAUCAAGGUUUCCUAAGCUUAGAGUUCUUCAACUGUGACCCAAACCCUAUGCGUGCGUGGUAUCCACCUGUGUCACCCCGUGUGACUUGGGGGAGUGAGAACAAGGGCAACCGAGGUGAACUUGAAACUCUGACCCCAGAGUCUCGUGUCUCUUGCCAGCAUCCAUGACCCUGUGGCCAGCUAGCUUACUGGCUUGCAAAUAGGGUUAGAUCUUACGCUCUUUACAGUUCUUGAAAUGCCAGGGAAGACUCUAGCCUGUUUCCUUCCUGGAGAGUAAGACUCCUUUAACUGCCAGCAUUCUGGGAACCCAGUAGAGGAAGAGCUCUGUGCACCUCGGCGUUCAGGGUUCAGAACGCCUCUGCUUAUACCUUCGUGCUCUCAGCUUUGCCAGGUGACUUCCCGUUCAGAGGACCUCUGUUCUGUCAUCUCUGGGGAACAAACCUCCAGACUCCUCAGGUGAAGGAGGCCUGUAGCAGGGAGAGGACGUGGGGUUCUGGUCCUUGCUGAGAGAUCCCCUUCUCAAUGAAGCAUUGCCUGACUUUUCUGUUUAAAACCGCUAUCCUUCUCACCCUCUUUCCUCUCUUUAUCUUUCUGCAUAGCACUUACUACCUUCAGACGUACUGUAUCAUUUUUCUUAUUUACUGUCUUUAUUCUCUAUCACCCUUCCCACUGGUAUGUAAGCUCCAAAAGGUCAGAGAUUUUUAUCUCUUUAAUUUUACUCUUUAUCUCUAACACCUAGAAAGUGUCUAUUAUGUGCCUAUUUAUAGACUAUCUGUUAUAAUACAGCUGUUGUCAUAGCUAUUCAGUAAAUAUUUGUUGACUGGAUGGGUGAAUGAAUGACUGGAGGAACUUGCACAGCUUUUGCCCUUGGCUUCUGGUUUGAGAAUAAAACUUGAUAAGUUUAUUUUCUUUAAGUCAUUGGUACAUCUUUUUAAAAGCUUUAAAUAUUGAUGUUAAUUGAGGGCAUAGGUGACUCUCACAGCAGGUUAAUUAUUGUCAUUGCAAAGCAAUUUAGGAUAAUUUGUUUUGUGUACAAUUUCUUAUCAUGUGGUUUAGAAUCCUGUUUUGGGAACUCCUAACUGCAGUGUUCUUUGUUUCUGUUAGAGCAUUUCUAUCACUCUCAGUCAGUAAAUACUGGAUAUGCGUAGUUUGUAGGUAGAGCUAACGGGAUUUGCUAAGGACUGGAUGUGGGGCAUAGAAAACAGAAAGAUUAAUAAAGAUUGAAUUUGGGGGUUUCCCUGGUGGCACAGUGGUUAAGAAUCUGCCUGCCAAUGCAGGGGACACGGGUUCGAGCCCUGGUCCAGGAAGAUCCCACAUGCUGCGGAGCAACUAAGCCCAUGUGCCACAACUACUGAGCCUGCGCUCUAGAGCCUGCAAGCCACAACUACUGAGCCCACGCACCACAACUACUGAAGCCCACGCACCUAAAGCUCGUGCUCUGCAACAAGAGAAGCCACCGCAAUGAGAAGCAUGCACACCACAGCGAAGAGUAGCCCCCGCUCGCUGCAACUAGAGAAAGCCCGCACGCAGCAACGA